rnacentral:sRNA from 1 species
AGCGCUGAAAUAAGGGAGUGCGCCGGCAUGCAUUGCCUUAUGGAGCUUUCAGGAGGGGUUGUGCAGUGAAACCUCAAACCGGCGUAGGCCAAAAGGCUGAAGGAAAAUGCUCUA